rnacentral:rRNA from 1 species
CUACGGGGGGCUGCAGUGGGGAAUAUUGGACAAUGGGGGAAACCCUGAUCCAGCAAUGCCGCGUGUGUGAAGAAGGCCUGCGGGUUGUAAAGCACUUUCGGUUGGGAGGACUGCUUCUAGCACUAAUAUUGUUGGAAGUUGACGUUACCUUCAGAAGAAGCACCGGCUAACUCCGUGCCAGCAGCCGCGGUAAUACGGAGGGUGCAAGCGUGAAUCGGAAUUACUGGGCGUAAAGCGCGCGUAGGCGGCUAGAUCAGUCGGGUGUGAAAGCCCCGGGCUUGACCUGGGAACUGCAUCCGAGACUGUCUAGAUUGAGUACAGGAGAGGAGAGUGGAAUUCCACAUGUAGCGGUGAAAUGCGUAGAUAUGUGGAGGAACACCAAUGGCGAAGGCAGCUCUCUGGCCUGAUACUGACGCUGAGGUGCGAAAGCGUGGGGAGCAAACAGGAUUAGAUACCCUCGUAGUC